rnacentral:rRNA from 1 species
UCCCUACGGGGGGCAGCAGUGGGAAAUAUUGGGCAAUGGAGGCAACUCUGACCCAGCAACGCCGCGUGAAUGAUGAAGGUCUUCGGAUUGUAAAGUUCUGUGAUGGGGGAUGAACACAAUGACGGUACCCCAAUAGCAAGCCACGGCUAACUACGUGCCAGCAGCCGCGGUAAUACGUAGGUGGCAAGCGUUAUCCGGAUUUACUGGGUGUAAAGGGGGCGCAGACGGCAAUGCAAGCCAGGAGUGAAAGCCCGGGGCCCAACCCCGGGACUGCUCUUGGAACUGCAUGGCUGGAGUACAGGAGG